GCCUGGGUGGCUCAGUUGGUUGAGCAUCUGACUUUUGAGUUUUGGCUCAGGUCAUGAUGUUGCAUUUGGUGGGUUCAAGUCCUGUGUCAGGCU
rnacentral:tRNA from 1 species